rnacentral:lncRNA from 1 species
CGUAGAUUGAACGACGGAGCUCGUUUAGGAAUUUAACAGGAAACUUUUGGAAACGGAUCAUCAUAUUUAUCGGAAAGUACAGGAGGUUGAGCACGACUGCUCCGUGAAUGGAUUGGAGGUAGGUAGGUGGGGGGAAAUGGAUUAUAAUGAAGAUAUGUACGAAGGAAGUGGAGGGGAAAGGAGGGGUCGGUUGAGUGAUAAAAGGAAUAAAAGAGUAAGAAGUGACAAGGGAGAGGAGUCUGAAAAUGAUGAUGACAGAGGGGAAACUUUUCAGAAAGAAAUAAAGAAGUAUGAGGUCGUAAUUAGGUUCAAUGGAAAGAGUCAGGAGAUCAUGAAGAAAGUCAACCCAUUUGUGUUAACCACAACUCUGGCAAAUAAAAUAGGAGAGAUAGAGUUUGCGAAAAUCCUUAAUGAUGGUAACUUACUGGUUAGAUGUGCCGAUGCAGGGCAAAUGGAGAAAGCUCUAAAAAUUAAGGAAAUCGCAAAAUGUAAGGUGGAAAGUAUGGGAAGGGUGGGAAUAAGGAAAAAAAGUGGAACGAUAGGAGUGAUUACAGGGGUAUCAAUGAGUGUAACAGUGGAGGAAAUAAAGAGGAAUAUCAAGGGAGCAAAAGUUGUAAAUGUUCAAAGAAUGAAAGCAACAAGGGAUGGAGUGGUAAAGGACAGUGAAACAGUGCUAAUAGAGUUCGAAGAAGAGAUAGUGCCAAAGAAAGUUUUUUUGGGUUUUAUGAGUUACCCAGUGAGGGUGUACGUGCCAAAACCACUGAGAUGUUUUAACUGCCAAAGGUUUGGUCACAUUGCAAAAAACUGUAAUAGGCAGAGAAGAUGUGCAAGGUGUGGAGGGGACCAUGAAUAUGGAAAAUGUGGGUCAGGGGUACCACCAAGGUGUUGUAACUGUGGUGGUGACCACAAUGUGGCUUUUAGUGGAUGUGAAGUAAUGAGACGAGAGACGAAUAUCCAAAAGAUAAGAGUGGAAAAAAGAAUCACAUAUGCUGAAGCUGUCAAGGUAUCAGGGGAAAAGAAUAAUAAAGAGCAAAAAGUGGAUACGGAAACACUGGUGCAACAGCAAGGUAAUUUUGAAGGAGUCUUUGUGAAAAAAAUAGAUUUGGUAACAUUCAUAGCAGGUGUGAUAAACA